AUGAAUAAUUUUAAUCACCAAGAGAAAGUGUUUAAAACGGCCUUCGAACUGGGGUAAGAUCAUCCCUAUUAACAAUGCCUCAAAAUACCACAGAACAGUCGCUGUCUACCAGUUAUUGUUAAUUGCU